rnacentral:sRNA from 1 species
GUUUUGUCCUGGUACAUCUAGUCGACAUUGAGUUUUUGCUUCAGUUUUAUUUUCUGUUUUACUCUGGCUGCGCCGCUUUUGCUUCUGCAACCUGUAAUUCGAGAUUUUUCCAAGUUAUUCAGAUUUCGCAUUUGAUUUCAUCUAUCAUCUUGUUUCUCUACUCUUUAUCUCUUUACUUAUGCAAUAUCAUCAUUUAUCUGCGUUUAUGUCUUUGAGCAUGUUGUCUGAGUAGUGACAUAAAGUUCUUAAGGAUGGGAUAGAAUAGUUGUGGAAUCCUUAGUCUGUAGAAUGGUUAAGUUUUAGAAUUGAUUGAAUCCCUUCACGACUAGUUGUGUUUACUGCUUAUUUCUUUCUAAUCAACUGAAAUUCCAUCUAAAGCAUUCCCGCACCCAGAAGGUGUUUGAUGGAAUGCUUGAUCCACUAGUUCAUGAGAUAUUCGUCUUUAUCCCAAGGGAUUGGCCGUAUAGAGCGUUUAUUGACUUUAUCAGUCUGUUCUUAUUGCCUGCAUAGUUAGAUUCCGUUAAUGGGAAUUAGUUUGGGCUAGCUUUGCUUGAGGAUUUCUAUCACGGGAUUGAAUUGAUUUGUUGUUGAACAUGUUGUCUAGGGAUAGCUUGAUUGCGCUUGUUAACUGAUAUAACCCGAUUUUCACUGAUUUUAUCUAUGUUUUAGGUAUAGGAUUUUGAGUCUUUAUGUUAUUUCUCGACACCAGUUUCGGCCCAGCAAAAGUCCUAGACGCUUUCGAGUUUACAGAAGAGGAAAUUUACCCCAGAAGACUUCCCUAUUUGCAUUAUUAGUCCCUGGACGUUUUUAGGGUCUAUAUAUAUUGUUUCUAGCCCU